UGGAUCCGAAUAACCUCGGGAAACUGAGGCCAAUCCGGAAUACGAUUCCCAGCUGGAACUGCUGGGAAUCCGAAACGCUCAGGCGCCAUAGGAUGUGGCUGCGGCCGAUUAGGUAGACGGUGGGGUAACGGCCCACCGUGCCAAUAAUCGGUACGGGUUGUGAGAGCAAGAGCCCGGAGACGGUAUCUGAGACAAGAUACCGGGCCCUACGGGGCGCAGCAGGCGCGAAACCUUUACACUGCACGCCAGUGCGAUAAGGGGACUCCGAGUGCGAGGGCAUAUAGUCCUCGCUUUUCACCAUCGUAAGGAGGUGGUAGAACAAGUGCUGGGCAAGACCGGUGCCAGCCGCCGCGGUAAUACCGGCAGCACGAGUGAUGACCGCUAUUAUUGGGCCUAAAGCGUCCGUAGCUGGCCGCGCAAGUCUAUCGGGAAAUCUGUGUGCCUAACACACAGGCGUCCGGUGGAAACUGCUCGGCUUGGGACCGGAAGACCAGAGGGGUACGUCUGGGGUAGGAGUGAAAUCCCGUAAUCCUGGACGGACCACCGGUGGCGAAAGCGCCUCUGGAAGACGGAUCCGACGGUGAGGGACGAAAGCUCGGGUCACGAACCGGAUUAGAUACCCGGGUAGUCCGAGCUGUAAACGAUGUCUGCUAGGUGUGACGCAAACUACGAGUUUGCGUCGUGCCGUAGGGAAGCCGUGAAGCAGACCGCCUGGGAAGUACGUCCGCAAGGAUGAAACUUAAAGGAAUUG
rnacentral:rRNA from 1 species